GCUCCUUUAAGGUCUAGGGGUGUGAAUAGACAGAGGAGAGAGGUUCACAGAGAGAGCAGAGAAAGAAUGGGGCAGCAGGAGUAAAGACGUCACCAUAUGCAUUAAUUAGAAACGACUGGACACACAGGAAUUGGCAGAAGAGGUUGGGGCAGUCUAGCAGACGCUUUCAAUACCUUAACGGUGUGGUGUGAGAUCACUCACAUAUGUACUUUGAUAGAAGUCUGAUAGAGGGCUACAAAUAGCCCCAGAAAAUGGCUUGAUUCCAAGAUCCUUGUACAAAAAAAGGAGUGUGAAAAUGAAUGAAUUGCACCAUAGAAAUACAUUUGCAGUACUGAAAUGCCGAUCCAAAUGCUGGCACAUUAGUGAUGACAGUGUUCAGUAGCUGAGUGGAGAAACAAUGAUACUAAACAUUCCUGGAGGGGUACCUGGUUUCCUGUUGUUUGUCUUGCAUUUGACUGUCAUAUGCAAAAAUUACCAGUCUGCAGCGUUCUGAUAGGAAUUUUGUGUUGCCAAACAAACACAUUAAUGAUGCAUCUUCGCCUUAGGUAGCUCCUAAAGAUGGGAAAAAAGACAAAAGGAAGAUCCAGGAGAGAUUUGGUGGGUUGCUUAUUGUUUAGAGGAGAUGCAUUCUCAGAAUUUGUGAGAAGAUAUAUAUGAACUUCUGGUUUUCCUUCUUAGAAUGCUAGUAAUGAAAGUUUAGCUUCUUCUGCGACAUGAGUGUAUAUAUUUUUAUUUACUGAUUUAUUCUUCACAGGCUGCAAACCCAGAGCAAUAUGACAUAUUGCCUGAUGUAUGUCCAAAACAGAAGGAAGACAGUGAUGAUAUUGCAAAAAUGGAGGAAUUAUGUCCUUCUGUUUCUUCAGAUGAUGCACAGCAGGCUGUUCCAGGUCAGAGUGAGGUGGUACAUAGUUAUACAUCUGUAAUUCUAGAAACUGAAGAGUGUUCUCCGGCUGCAGAAGCUGAGAAGACUAGUUCCAGUUCAGCUGAUCAGACUACUCGUGAUGUGCCUGUUAGUCCUUCAAGUUACAGGGCACUGUGUGGUGUUGAGAACUGUGCUCACAAAGAUCAGCCUUGUUCCCGAUGAUGAUAAACUGCCACCACUUCUGCUUGCAGUGGGUGAAAAAGGAAAAGAAACUUAUUGAUCAGAUUCUACCAGAUCACCCUUUUCUUUUCGGUGUUCUCGUCCAUAAGGUGGAAAUACCCUGGGCAAAAGUUUUUCCUAUCUGUUUAAUGUUGAGACUGGGAGCAGAAUAUGGGGGUUCCUUCUCCAUGCGUUUCACACUGCAGCCAUGGGACUUCAAAGCAUGUUACUUUGUAUGAACAUCCUCACUCACUCUAUUCUUGAUGAUCAAUGCUAAGUGGCACCUCACUUUGUAUUAUAGCAUUAACACAAACGCAGAUGUUAACCCGUAUGGUAUUCUUAUUCAAGCAGCUAUAGACCCUUUGCAAUGUCUACAGAAGUUGGUGACCCAAAGACUGAACCUGGGAUGUUUCCACCCAGAUCAUCAAUUGCAAGAAACAUAGCUGACAAAACAUAUGAAAGCAGCAACAAGUCUCUGCCACAGAAUUACUGCCACUAGGAGAGUGGUUCCAUGCAGUGACGCUGCAGUAGGAUUUAACCUUGGGUGGGGAAAAGUUGGGGACAGGGAAGCAGGGGCUCUGGGUCCUUUGGCUGAUCAGGUACUGAGAUUAAGAAACAGGGGCUAUAGCUGAAAAUAAAUACUUGGAUUAGCAAGUUUUACAGUUGUUGAUGGGUAAACAUGACCUCUUCUUUUUUUUGUGCCCUGACUGUAGCAUACCCCACUCCUGUAGUAAGUUUCAGGCACCGGAAGCCACUCUUUGGUGAGAUUGGACCCACAAUUAUGAAUCUGCUUGUUGUUGAGUACUUAGCUGGAUCUGGAGCUCACCUUUUUCCACAGAAGUAUCUGAAUGAAUUGGACAACGGUCUGAUCCCUGUGAUUCAUGCUGGAAUGUCAGAUCCUACAAGUCUACCAUUGAAAAUGGAGUUAAUAUUUUUCAUUAUUGAGCAUCUGGUUUGAUUAGGUCGAUUACAAGCAAUACUCUGAUUUGCUAGAUCUGAACACCAAAGCUACAAUGCUACAAACUAAAAAUCUUAACGUUUUAAACCUGUUAUGUCUUAAUAGAUUUUCAAAUUGUUUUUUAAACCCUCAAAUCCUCUCUGGUUACUUUACCACAAAAGACAACUUGUUUGUAAUGUUUCCUUAGGUUCUGAAAGUUUACACUUAAUACAUGUGCAAAAGAGGGCAGGUUUUAUUACCUUUUUACACAGCUGUAGCAUUUACUGUGUGUAGUGUAACUUUAAGCUAUACUGUCUUGCCCCUUAAGCUCAGAUAAAUGCAUUACAGAAAAUUGCUGUGGCUACACCUUAUCUCUGCAGCAUCUGCUUUUCCAUGUGCAAGUGAGCUAAAACACUGAAGUAAAAGCUGGCACAAAACUCUUUUCUUGUCAUUUGAGAUUUGAAUGUGAGAUGCUCUGUAGCUGACUGCAGAUGUCAUAUGUGGGCACCUUCUGACAGUGGUUUGUGGCCUGCAUGAGGAGGAAUUUCACAGAUAUGUUUAUGAAGACUUUGUAGUUGAAGUCCUUCAUGUCAGGAUGCUAUGCUGGUGCUUUAGGAACAUAGGCUCUGAAUUAAUUUUUUUUUUUUUAUAGAUCAACUGAUUUCUUUCUAUCAUUUAUAAGGAUUUGCCUAACUCAAAUGGAUGCUAUUUUUAUAAAUACUACUUUUUUCUUUACUCUGUGUUCGGGGCUCCUGAAAAUUUGACCUUUCGAGGAUUACUAAAAAAACCAGAUUACCCUUGAGUAAUCUAUAUGUAGCAAUAAAUCAGACAAGAAUUCUGCAGUGUGUUUUCUGCUCGAUCUACUGCAUUGCCACUUCUUAAUAGCCAUCUUUACUUUCAGGGAAAAUAGAAUUAUUAAGUGUGGAUUUUCAUUAACAGAUUGAUUUUUAGUAUACCUGAGGUUCUUGCAUAGGAUGUAUUUUUGAUACUGGGUCAUUAAGAUCUAUUUAUAUAGUUGUGAUAUAUAUGUGACUUGUACUGAGGUUCAGACAACUGUAGUGGGGUUUGGUAACUGUCACACAGCUGUUCAUUAGGAACAGAACCAAAAUUAAAUACAAACAAGAUCUAUAUUGUUUUCAGUAAAAAUUCUGGUACAGUUUUCUAAGGAGAGUAUUGAAUCUUUGAUGCCUUGUUGAUGCUAAUAAGGGGAUAUUUUAUGUUUUUGUAUCAAAAACAAUUUAUAACUUAACCUAA